rnacentral:rRNA from 1 species
UACGGAGGGGGCUAGCGUUGUUCGGAAUUACUGGGCGUAAAGCGCACGUAGGCGGCUUUGCAAGUUAGAGGUGAAAGCCCAGGGCUUAACCCUGGAAUUGCCUUUAAAACUGCAUCGCUAGAAUUGUGGAGAGGUGAGUGGAAUUCCGAGUGUAGAGGUGAAAUGCGCAGAUAUCAGGAGGAACACCGGUGGCGAAGGCGGGUCUCUGGGCCGAUACUGACGCUGAGGAGCGAAAGCGUGGGGAGCGAACAGG